rnacentral:lncRNA from 1 species
GUUUUAUAAAGGUUUUUCUUUUUUUUUAAUUGUCUUAUUUAGAUCGCUCUAGUUGAAGGACUGUACUUUCUAUUCAGAGAACUGCUGCCCAGUCUUGCAAAGAGAACAGGUCCAAGAAUCAUUGACGAUAAUGAGGUUUUUGAACACUCAGCAGUUUGCUGGGCCUACCUGAUGUCUCAAGCUGAGAUGAUGAGGCCAUUCCAAACUGUUCUGAAACGAACCUCAAGGAAACAUCUAUCAUGCAAGCAAAAGAUGUGGAAAGGAUUUUGCUGAGUCUCCCUCCCUGGAUAAACACGUUUCCACUUUUGAUUUCAUACAAUUAUGUCUCUGGUAAAAAGUAAGUUUCUGUUUUCUUAUUGCUAUCU